UAUAAACUUUAGGGGUGUUUUCGCAAAAGCGAAAUCUGAGAAAUACCCUUUGAACCUGAUUCGGUUAGUACCGACGAAGGGAAAAGUUAAUUAUCAUAU
rnacentral:ncRNA from 2 species